rnacentral:rRNA from 1 species
CCUACGGGUGGCUGCAGUGGGGAAUAUUGGGCAAUGGAGGCAACUCUGACCCAGCAACGCCGCGUGAAGGAAGAAGGCCUUAUGGUUGUAAACUUAUGUUGUAAAGGAAGAAAAGAAUGACGGAACUCUACAAGAAAGUCCCGGCUAACUAGCGGCAAGCAGCCGCGGUAAGCCAUAGGGGGAAAGCGUUGUUCGGAUUUAUGGGGCGCAAGGGGAGCGUAGGCGGGUGAUUAAGUUAAUAGUGAAAGCCUUGGGCUCAACCCAAGAAAUGCAUUUAAUACUGGUUUUCUAGAGUGUUGGAGAGGUUAGUGGAAUUCCUAGUGUAGCGGUAGAAUGCGUAGAGAUUAGGAGGAACAUCAGAGGCGAAGGCGACUUACUGGACCAUAACUGACGCUGAGGCUCGAAAGCGUGGGGAGCAAACAGGAUUAGAUACCCGUGUAGUC